UACGUAUGGAGCAAGCGUUAUCCGGAUUUACUGGGUGUAAAGGGAGUGUAGGUGGCCGUGCAAGUCAGAAGUGAAAAUCCGGGGCUCAACCCCGGAACUGCUUUUGAAACUGUAAGGCUGGAGUGCAGGAGGGGUGAGUGGAAUUCCUAGUGUAGCGGUGAAAUGCGUAGAUAUUAGGAGGAACACCAGUGGCGAAGGCGGCUCACUGGACUGUAACUGACACUGAGGCUCGAAAGCGUGGGGAGCAAACAGG
rnacentral:rRNA from 1 species